GAGAGAGAGAGAGAGAGAGAGCAGCAGUAGCAGCAGCUAGCAGAACCAUCACCUCCGCAACUAGCACUAUUUCAGUUACUGGAAACAACUGCCCAAACCCAUAAAAUCCUCUCCAUAUGCGUAAAAAUAUCAUACAUGUCUUUAUAUGAUUAUAGCUAUAUAUAUAUGUGAAGAUCUUAAUAUAUGUUUAAAGUGUCUGCUGCCGUUGUUGUUGCAUGCUCAUGUGGCCUUCAGCUUGCUCUAAAAUGUUCUGUACUUGAGUUACUAACUUGUACUAUUUUGGGUUUUGCCCGUGUAAUAAGAUCUGGGUUCUUUGGAAAAUUUCUAAGGGAAGUAAUAUUUGGUACUUUCAAGUGAGAUCUACUUCUGUUUUGCGAGUUCGGGAUUUUGGGUCUUACUGCGUCUGUUCUCAAGUGCUUGGUUCUGGAGCCUUUCUCAUCUUAUUGCUGAAAUCAUUAGCUCACUGUUUGGUUGGUUCUCUGGAGAAGCACGCGUGGGGGAAUGCUGGCUGGGAUGUGGGGUUCCAUUUGUUGAAGAUUUGUGUGGUUUAAGAGCUUUUUGUCAGUGAUUAGUGAAGUUGGGGGUUGUGGCUGAAGAAAAUAGCAAGCGGAUGUGGCUGAAAUCGAUCUUGUUUUGUAGCAACACCGGCUUCGUUGAAGAUUCAAGAAGAGGGGUUUUGGUGUGGUUGUUAGUUUUCCAAUGAAGUUUCACAUUGAAUAUCAUUUGACUGAUGCGUUUUAUUGAAGGUUAGACACCAAAAUUUGGCAAUCUGGAUUGGUUUUUGAAGGGGGAGGAAAAAGGUAAAGGUAUGGUAUUGUGUGAGAAGAAACCAGGGAAGAGAGUAAUUGUUGAGUGGUUUGGUUGGGGUUUAAUUGGUGUGGGUAAGAGUGGGUUUUUUGGGAUCUUCUCGUUGUGGGUCUAGACUUGGUUUUGAAGGCGUUAUUAAAUCUGUGAUAAUGAGGCUCUCUUCAGCUGGUUUUAGUACACAGACCCAGGAAGGGGAGAAAAGGGUUUUGAAUUCUGAACUUUGGCACGCAUGUGCGGGUCCUCUUGUUUCUCUGCCUGCUGUUGGAAGUCGUGUUGUUUAUUUCCCCCAGGGUCACAGCGAGCAGGUUGCUGCGUCAACUAACAAGGAAGUGGAUGCCCAUAUUCCUAACUACCCAAGCUUACCUCCACAACUUAUCUGUCAACUUCACAACGUGACCAUGCAUGCAGAUGUUGAGACGGAUGAAGUGUAUGCACAGAUGACCUUACAGCCAUUGAGUCCUGUAUGCCGUAUUGUCUUUAUUGGUGUUUUGAUUUGUUGUUCUUUGGUUGACAUAAAUUUCAUUACAUAUUUAAAAUGAUUUUAUUCUAUAGCAAGAACAGAAGGAUGCCUACCUUCCCACUGAAUUGGGCACUUCCAGCAAACAGCCAGCAAAUUAUUUUUGUAAAACUUUGACAGCCAGUGAUACAAGUACUCAUGGAGGAUUCUCUGUCCCUCGCCGGGCAGCUGAAAAAGUGUUUCCUCCACUGGACUUUUCCCAACAACCUCCAGCUCAAGAGUUGAUUGCUAGGGAUCUACAUGAUAACGAAUGGAAAUUCAGGCAUAUCUUUCGUGGCCAGCCCAAAAGGCAUCUUCUAACAACAGGGUGGAGUGUGUUUGUAAGUGCUAAAAGACUUGUCGCUGGGGAUUCAGUCCUUUUUAUCUGGAAUGAAAAGAAUCAAUUGUUACUUGGUAUCCGACGUGCUAGUCGUCCUCAAACUGUGAUGCCUUCAUCAGUCUUAUCAAGUGACAGCAUGCAUUUAGGGCUGCUUGCUGCUGCAGCUCAUGCAGCUGCAACAAAUAGCCGUUUCACAAUAUUUUACAAUCCAAGGGCUAGCCCAUCGGAAUUUGUCAUACCAUUGGCCAAGUAUGUUAAAGCAGUCUAUCAUACCCGGGUUUCUGUUGGUAUGCGCUUUAGAAUGCUAUUUGAAACAGAAGAAUCAAGUGUCCGCCGGUAGGCCCUAUGUCAUUAUUGUUAUAUUUAUUAUAAAUGUUACAGUUAUUGCAUAAUUGGCUUUUUGACUGGUUACAUUUUCCCCCUCAACUAUCAAAAUGAGCUCAAUUUUUGGCUGCUGUAAACAUUAAAUAUAUUACAUACAAGUGACAUUGAAAUAAAUAUCUGCCCCCAUUUUAUUGGGAUGAUCAAUUGUUAAAUUACGGUUGGUAUAUAUCAACAGGCUUGAAGUUGGAUCCCUCUGUACUUCUAUCUUUUUCUUGGCUCAUCUGAUAACAUGUUCUCUUGUAUUGUUGUUUCUUAUUUUAAUGCGAUGAAUUUAUUAUGAGAAUUUUAUACAUGACUUUUAUGCGUGAAGCUACAUGGGUACAAUAACUGGCAUAAGCGACUUGGAUUCUGUUAGGUGGCCUAAUUCACAUUGGCGCUCAGUCAAGGUUGGCUGGGACGAAUCCACAGCUGGAGAGAGGCAACCAAGGGUUUCCCUAUGGGAAAUUGAGCCAUUAACAACGUUCCCAAUGUAUCCUCCAUUCCCUCUAAGGCUUAAGCGCCCUUGGCCACCUGGACUUCCCUCAUUCCAUGGAAUCAAGGAUGAUGAUUUGGGAAUGAAUUCCCCCCUUAUGUGGCUGCGAGGUGAUGGAGAUCGUGGAAUUCAAUCUAUGAACUUUCAGGGACUAGGAGUAACACCAUGGAUGCAGCCACGAGUUGAUGCUUCCAUGCUUAGUUUGCAAACUGAUAUGUAUCAAGCUAUGGCUGCUGCUGCACUUCAGGAGAUGAGGGCUUUUGAUCCUUCCAAGUCAUCAACUGCAUCCCUUUUGCAAUUCCAGCAACAUCCUAAUCUCCCAAGAACUGCUGCUUUGAUACCACCCCAGAUGCUGCAGCAGUCACAGCCUCAACCGGCCUUUCUUCAAGGUGUUCAAGAAAACCAACAUCAGCCCCAGUCUCAGGCUCAAACACAGUCUCACCUUAUUCAGCAACAGUUGCAUCACCCUCACUCACUUAAUAGUCAACAGCAACAGCAGCUGCCACAACAGCAGCAAUUGGUUGAACAUCAACAGAUUCCUAAUGUUGUCUCUACAAUAUCUCAAUUUCCUUCAGCCUCUCAAUCCCAGUCACCACCAUUACAAGCCAUCUCUUCCCUGUGCCAACAGCAGAGUUUUUCCGACUCAAAUGGGAACCCUGUGACAAGCUCUGUUGUUUCUCCUUUGCAUAGUCUCAUGGGUUCAUUUUCCCAGGAUGAAUCAUCUCAUUUGAUGAACCUGCCUAGAACCAAUCCAUUGGUAACUUCUUCUGGCUGGCCAUCAAAGCGAGCUGCUGUUGAACCUCUUAUUUCUUCUGGAGCUCCACAAGGUGUUCUACCCCAAGUACAACAGUUGGGGCCCCCUCAGACAAACAUCUCUCAGAGUUCUGUUUCCUUGCCACCCUUCCCUGGUAGGGAGUGUUCGAUGGACCAAGAUGGUGGCACUGAUCCACAAAGCCAUCUUCUAUUUGGUGUCAAUAUAGAGCCUUCAUCUCUUCUACUGCAGAAUGGAAUGUCGAGUCUUAGGGGUGUUGGUAGUGAUAGUGAUUCCACAAAUGUGCCCUUCUCUUCUUCAAAUUACAUGGGCAAUGCAGGCACUGAUUUCUCACUUAAUCCAGCAAUGACACCGUCAAGUUGUAUUGAUGAAUCAGGUUUCCUGCAGUCCCCGGAAAAUGUGGGCCAAGUAAACCCACCAACUAGAACCUUUGUUAAGGUUUACAAGUCAGGGUCCUUCGGUAGGUCACUAGACAUUACCAAAUUCAGCAGUUACAAUGAAUUGCGGAGUGAGCUUGCUCGUAUGUUUGGCCUUGAAGGCCAGCUGGAGGACCCUCUGAGAUCAGGCUGGCAGCUUGUAUUU
rnacentral:misc_RNA from 1 species